AGGCUUUGAUCCUGGCUCAGAACGAACGCUGGCGGCAGGCUUAACACAUGCAAGUCGAGCGAAGCUUUUGGGCUUAGCGGCGGACGGGUGAGUAACGCGUGGGAACGUGCCCUUUGGUACGGAAUAGUCCUGGGAAACUGGGUUUAAUACCGUAUAUUCUCUACGGAGGAAAGAUUUAUCGCCAAAGGAUCGGCCCGCGUUGGAUUAGGUAGUUGGUGGGGUAAUGGCCUACCAAGCCGACGAUCCAUAGCUGGUUUGAGAGGAUGAUCAGCCACACUGGGACUGAGACACGGCCCAGACUCCUACGGGAGGCAGCAGUGGGGAAUCUUAGACAAUGGGGGCAACCCUGAUCUAGCCAUGCCGUCGUGAUCGAUGAAGGCCUUAGGGUUGUAAAGAUCUUUCGCUGGGGAAGAAUAAUGACGGUACCCUAGUAAAGAAAGCCCCGGCGUACCAUCCG
rnacentral:rRNA from 1 species